GAUUUCAAAAGUUGCGAGUUGCAUUGGCAGCCGCCCUUGGCGCCCGGGCCACCUUUUUCCCGGGCCCCGCUGCAAGGGCCGGGAACGUUUCCGCCACCUGGCCGGGCUCGACCGCGCGGCGCUCUGCGGGGCGCUGUCCCCGCUCCCCGAGUGCGCAGCGGAGCGUCCUGGAAGACAAUGACCAUGGGAACAAUUUGCACAGGAGGCUAGGAGCCCAGGAAAAGCCGCCUGGGCGCCAGGCAGAGGUUUUUUGAAAACACAAACGGCGCGUUAGAUGCUUGGGGACUCCCAGCAUCUGUCCUUCCUAUUGUUUAGCUCGGCUCCGGAGUUCACGGGAGCCUCGUGAAAUGUGGAGACGUCCUGCAAAGUUUCUUGAACACUUCAUGUGCGUGGUAGGAAGUCGAGGAAAAAGGUUUACGGUUCCCCGCUGGUUGCAUUGUUUGUCCUGCACAUGUUCGAGCGAACAUGGCAGCCGCAACCCUGGAUGUGUUCGAAUUGACAUCGAGGGGGGAGCUUCACGUCGUGAAAUAACUUUUUUCUGGGCUUUCGAGAUUCUAAAGCAUUGCUGAUGAAAAUAAACCAAAUACUUUCAGAUAUCGUUUAGGGCUUCUCUCUAAAACAGCAGUGUGCAGGAAUGCCGAUCGAACUUUUCUAGGCAGUAGGUCAGCAUUUUCCAAAUGUUAUUUGGGAGCAGAAAUGUUUUGGGUCACUGGACCGUGCUUUACGUGGCACGGCAGGUUGGCACGCUACGCAGAUGCCCUUUUCGUUAACAUUUCCGCUUGCCAGUUGCUCCGGGUUUUAAUCCUGGGCUGGAUGCAGAAGUGAUGCCACCUCGAAGACAGGCUGCUCCUGUCUUUGUGUACUUUCUUCAUACCCUGUAGUAAGUUUGCAAAGAACGUGUUAGUCUGCAUUCUUUUAUUUUAUAUUUAUUUAUUUAUUUAUUUUGAGACGGAGUCCCACUCUGUCGCCAGGCUGGAGUGCAGUGGCGCGAUCUCGGCUCACUGCAACCUCCGCCUCCUGGGUUCAGGUGAUUCUCCUGCCUCAGCCUCCCCAGUAGCUGGGAUUACAGGCGCCUGCCACUGGAGGAUGGCUUCUCCCAGAGGGGAAGACAGGGUCACGGUUCUCAUUAAGAGGGUAUUGUACUAGUCAAGCCCGGAGAUGUACUUGAACUGAAAGCAAGGGGAAUGCAGCCCAGGGAAGGGAUUUGGUGUGAUUUAGCACGUAGGAAGGAGAGGAAGAAGGAUAAGAUGACCCCCAGGUUUCCAGUUUGCGGGGGUGGGGGGUGGGGGAGGGAAUGAGGAGCGAUGCUAAUAAUUUAUCUAAGAACUGCUGAAAGGCAAACAAGUUUCGGGGUGAGUUCAGCUUUGGAAAUGUUAAAUCUGAGGUCUGCCGGAUGGUGUGGGGGUGGGGCUCAGAGUUGCAAAUCUCAGGUCUGCCGGAUAUUCCAGACCAAAGUUAAUAGGGAAACAGGUCCGGAAUUUGGUGUGGGGAUGGGGCUCAGAGAUGCAAAUCUGGGUGCCAUCAGCAUGUAAAUGGUGUUCGAAGCCUCCGUAAGAGGUGAGAUUAACCCCGAAGGGAGAGCUCAGGAAAAAAGUGAAAGAGACCUUGGACAGAGCUCUGCAGAACUUGGAAAUCAAGUGGCUGGGCGGGACAGAGGCCGAUCCCCGCUGCGUCGGUGGGAGGCCACCAUCCUCAGAACCGACUCUUCCUCCCCGCCUCCACCCACCACGAGCUCACCGGGAAGCAGUUCUCUGCCGCAGAGGCCGUAAGCCACAGAUGCCUUACUUCAUCCAGGGCCACACUACAGCCUUGGCCCAGAUCAUCUGGCAGAGUCAUGCAUCCUUUUCUUUGCCGGUGAUGAGAGCUUCUUCCUUGGGUACUGCUUUGAGCUAGUCCUACGCUCCCCCGCAACUCCCGGGCUCACCAGAACCCCAUUCUAGGGAGCCAUCCCCGCUGGAUUCUCAGGCUCUGCUGGUUCCGUCCAAGAGAUGGUUCUCCUGGGUUGCAUUGUCUGGUUGGGGCUUAUUAAAAAUACCAGUUUACCGCUGAGCAGGGUAGCUCAGGGUGCCUGUAACCCCAGGGCUUUGGGAGGCCAAGACAGGAGGAUCACUUGAGGCCAGGAGGUUGAGACCAGCCUGGGCAACAUAAUGAAACCGCGUCUCUACAGAAAAUUUAAGAAGUAGUCAGGUGUGAUGGCGCAUGCCUAUAGUCCUAACUACCUCAGAGGCUGAGGUAAAUCAUUUGAGCCCAGUAGUUCAAGGCUACAUUGAGCUGUAAUCGUGCCACUACACUCUAGCCUGAGUAACAUAGCAAGACCCUGUCUCAAACAAAACAGAACAAAACAAAAAGAACUAAUUUACCAGCUUCACUCACUUGAAAGAUUACAGCUAGCAGAUACAAUGGGUUGAAUUAUGUCCACCACAAAAGGUGUGUUGAAAUCCUCACUGCCCCCCAUACCUGUGAAUGUGGCCUUACUUGGAAAUAAAAUAUUUGCAGAUUUAAUCAAGGUAAGAUGAAGUCAUACUCAAUUGUGAUAUGCCCUAAAUCCUAUGGCUCAUAUUCUUAGAAAAAAAGGAAUAUUUGGGCUGGGCGUGGUGGCUCAUGCCUGUAAUCUCAGCACUUUGGGAGGCCAAGGUGGGCAGAUCACUUGAGGCCAGGAGUUUGAGACCAGCCUGGCCAACAUGGCGAACCCCAUCUCUACUAAACGUACAAAAAUUAGCUGGGCGUGGUGGCAUAUGCCUGUAAUCCCAGCUUCUCGGGAAGCUGAGGCAGAAGAAUCGCUUGAACCCAGGAGGCAGAGGUUGCAGUGAGCUGGGAUCAUGCCACUGCACUCCAGCCUGGGUGACAGAGCAAGAUGUCUCAAAAAAAAGAAAAAAGAAAAAGAAAGAAAGAAAAGAAAAGGAAGAUUUGGAGACAGCGGCACAGAGGAGACACAGGGAAGAUGGCCAUGCAUGUGAAGACCGAGACAGAGGUUGGAGCAAUGCAGCUACAAGCUACAGCGGAGGUUGCCGUCAGCAUCAGAAGCUGGGAGAGGCAAGGAGGAAUUCUUCCCUAGAGCUUUCAGAGGGAGCGUAGCCCUGCCGACACCUUGGCUUCCCGCUAGCAGCCUCCGGGAUUUAAACUACCCAGCUUGCGGUCCUUUGUUAUGGCAGCCAUGGGAAAAGACUCCAGCAGGUCGGAGGUGUAUGUGGUGGGGAAGGGAUGUGAAGAAUCCCCAUUUUGCCAGGCUCCCUGGGUGAUUCUGAUGCUUUUGAAGAACACUGACCUAAGAAUUCCACUUCCUCUGAAACCCAGAGGGACGAGAGGCUGCCUGUUCUAUACCCCACAUCCUGCUCACCCCAAAACAGAAAAGCAGCUCCAGUGACAUCACCUUCCUGUCACCUGCCCUUCUCAUUCGGGGCUCAUGCCAUCCAACACUGCCACCAUCUGCUGCCAGAAGUGUCACUCCCCUGCAUGGUUUGAAUCAUGCCCAUUCAAAAGUGGCCCCUGCUCUGUCAUCCCAGGGGAUGGAGAGGGUCCAUUCUCAGGAAUAGCACCUGCUAGAUGAUGGAUGUGCAAAUCUGAUGACCUUGACCUUAACUCCACUUUAGACACCCAUUGUCUUGGCCGUGCUGUGAACCUUCUCGGCCCUGGAAAUCUUUCAUUUUUUAUUCGUUUAGAGAUGAGCUCUCGUUAUGUUGCCCAAGGUGGUCUCAAACUUCUGGGCUCAAGCAAUCCUCCCACCUCAGCCUCCUGAGUAGCUGGGACUACUACCAUGCUUAGCUAACCCUGGAAAUCUUAAACACCAACACCCUCUCCCCCGUCCCUGAGUCCUCUCCCUUCUUUACAUAGGACACCCACACUCUAACUUCAUGGGGGCCACCAGUCUCCUGAAGUGGAUCCGUUUCAUUCUGUUCAGCUUGGACCGUCUGAGGGUAGUUCUGCAGCCUCAUCUCACCUCAACCCAUUUCAUUGACCAUGUUCACCCCCACAUGUCCAAACUUAAGCCCCUCUACCUGCCUUCUUUGUCCUUCCACUGGGCUGGAGGAAACUCAGAACUUAGAGAUCCUGCCAUGAUGGGCAUGUCAGCCCCCAGUGCCAGCCGGGCUUUUCUGACACCUCAGAAAUCAUUGAGUAUGUUAUUCCUGAUGUUCAUUAUUCUCCCCAAGGGCUGGUUCACACUUUGCUGCCUUCAAGAGCAGAUGCACCUUACAGAAAAGAAUUCAUGUCCUCAGGGGAAACCCUGUAAUUCCCCCACCCUUCCCUGGCCCCACUAGACUCCUCUGACCUCCAGGGUCAGUGUCUCAGAGACAGGACUGCCCUCUGCCGGUCCCAGGCUGGUCCCUGCCUGUACCCUGACUUCCACCCCUCCAACAAUAGCUAACCUUUGUUGAGGAUUCACUACAUACCCCACUGCACAGUGUUUUAAAGCACUGCUUUUAGAAUUCUCCCCACAGUCCCCUGCGGUAGGUUUUCCUUUCAUGGGGAUGGGAACCAGGGUUCCGACUAAUUAAGUAAUUUAUCCAAGGUCACUGUCUUAGUUUGGGCUCCCCCAAAGUAGACCUGGAGACAAGGAUUAGGGAGAAGGGAGUUAGUUAAUUUGGGAGGUGAUCCUAGGAAACAUAAGUCAUGAAGCAGACAGGAGGAAACAGAAAGGAGAAAGCCGGAAGGAAUGUUAGAGUGGCCUACCAACCGUGGGCACCUGGGACUCUGCCCUGUUGAGGCUGCUCUGAGAAAUGGUACGGACCCCCUAGGGCAGGCAGAUGAAUGACGAACUCCAGUAGGUCUAUGUCCCAAGCCCCAGAGCCUGUGACUAUGUCAUGUUACAAGGCAAAGAGGAAUUUCAGUUGCAGGAAUUGAAUGUACUGAUCAGAGCCAAGUGUUGUAGUUCAUGCCUCUAGUCUCAGCUACUCGGGAGGCUGAGGCUGGCAGAUUAUUGGAGCCUAGGAGUUCAAGGACACAGUGAGGUAUGAUUGUACCACUGCACUCCAGCCUGGGUGACAGAGACCCUGUCUCUUAAAAUAAUUAAAGAAAAAUUUGCUCAUCAUUUGAGCUUAAAAUAGGGUGGUUAUCUUGGAUAAUCUAGGUGGAUCCAAGGUAAUCACAAGCCUCCUGAAAAGUGGAAGAGGGAAUAGAGAGCUGGAGAGAUGGGAGCGUGAGAAAGAAUUAGACUGACAUUGCUAGCUUUGAAGAUGGAGGAAGCGGCCACAAACUGAGGAAAACAGGUGCCCCCUAGAAUAUGGAAAAGACAAGCAGGUUCUCCUUUAAAGCCUCUGGAAGAGAAUACAUCUAGCUGAUAGCUUGAUCUUAGCUUAAUGAUAUCUGUGUCAGACUUCUGGUCCACAGAACUGUCAGAUCAUAA
rnacentral:lncRNA from 10 species